UGGAAGUUCAUAUGCUUGUCUCAAAGAUUAAGCCAUGCAUGUCUAAGUAUAAGCAAUUAUACCGCGAAACUGCGAAUGGCUCAUUAUAUAAGUUAUCGUUUAUUUGAUAGUACCUUACUACUUGGAUAACCGUGGUAAUUCUAGAGCUAAUACAUGCUAAAAAUCCCGACUUUGGAAGGGAUGUAUUUAUUAGAUUAAAAGCCAAUGCCCUUCGGGGCUCACUGGUGAUUCAUGAUAACUUCUCGAAUCGCAUGGCCUUGCGCCGGCGAUGGUUCAUUCAAAUUUCUUCCCUAUCAACUUUCGAUGUUUGGGUAUUGGCCAAACAUGGUUGCAACGGGUAACGGAGGGUUAGGGCUCGACCCCGGAGAAGGAGCCUGAGAAACGGCUACUACAUCUAAGGAAGGCAGCAGGCGCGCAAAUUACCCAAUCCCAACUCGGGGAGGUAGUGACGAUAAAUACUGAUACAGGGCUCUUUAGGGUCUUGUAAUUGGAAUGAGUACAAUUUAAAUCCCUUAACGAGGAACAAUUGGAGGGCAAGUCUGGUGCCAGCAGCCGCGGUAAUUCCAGCUCCAAUAGCGUAUAUUAAAGUUGUUGUGGUUAAAAAGCUCGUAGUUGAACCUUGGGCCUGGCUGGCCGGUCCGCCUCACCGCGUGCACUGGUCCGGCCGGGCCUUUCCCUCUGUGGAACCCCAUGCCCUUCACUGGGUGUGGCGGGGAAACAGGACUUUUACUUUGAAAAAAUUAGAGUGCUCAAGGCAGGCCUAUGCUCGAAUACAUUAGCAUGGAAUAAUGGAAUAGGACGUGUGGUUCUAUUUUGUUGGUUUCUAGGACCGCCGUAAUGAUUAAUAGGGACAGUCGGGGGCAUCAGUAUUCAAUUGUCAGAGGUGAAAUUCUUGGAUUUAUUGAAGACUAACUACUGCGAAAGCAUUUGUCAAGGAUGUUUUCAUUAAUCAGGAACGAAAGUUAGGGGAUCGAAAACGAUCAGAUACCGUUGUAGUCUUAACCAUAAACUAUGCCGACUAGGGAUCGGACGAUGCUAUCAUUUGGCUCGUUCGGCACCUUACGAGAAAUCAAAGUGCUUGGGCUCCAGGGGGAGUAUGGUCGCAAGGCUGAAACUUAAAGAAAUUUGACGUUUAUAUACUAAAGCAGCCGGGUAAACCGGUCAGGUGGAAGGUCCUUGGCCGGAUGGCCGAACGAUGCUAGUCGCCCGAUCGCGGGCGGCGACAACCCCAAAUUGCGGGGAGUCCCUAAAGCCAACUGAGACCAAGCGGGCGUCCGAAAGGCGUCCGUGGCCGAGCUAGCAGCCCUGGGUAUGGUAAAACUGCAGUUGGAUGAUACAAUGGGUGAUCCGCAGCCAAGCCCCUAACCGGCACACGCCGCAAGGGGAAGGUUCAGAGACUUGACGGGGUCGGGUCUGCGCGAGCAGGCUUAAGAUAAAGUCCGUCCGGCGUGUGAAAGCACGGCCGGAACCCGAAAACGNNNNNNNNNNNNNNNNNNNNNNNGGAGCCUGCGGCUUAAUUUGACUCAACACGGGGAAACUCACCAGGUCCAACACAAUGACGAUUGACAGAUUGAGAGCUCUUUCUUGAUUUUGUGGGUGGUGGUGCAUGGCCGUUCUUAGUUGGUGGAGUGAUUUUGUCUGCUUAAUUGCGAUAACGAACGAGACCUUAACCUGCUAAAUAGCCGUAUUGCUUGGCAGUACGGUGGGUUGUUAGAGGCAGGAUUGGAUUAAUCCGAUGGAAGUUUAGGCAAUAAAAGGUCUGUGAUGCCCUUAGAUGUUCUGGGCCGCACGCGCGCUACACUGAUGGAGUCAGCGAGUACUUCCUUGACCGAAAGGUCCGGGUAAUCUUGUUAAACUCCAUCGUGCUGGGGAUAGAGCAUUGCAAUUAUUGCUCUUCAACGAGGAAUCCCUAGUAAGCGCAAGUCAUCAGCUUGCGUUGAUUACGUCCCUGCCCUUUGUACACACCGCCCGUCGCUACUACCGAUUGAAUGGCUCAGUGAGGCGUUCGGACUGGCCCAGGGUAGGUGGGCAACUACCACCCCGGGCCGGAAAGUU
rnacentral:rRNA from 1 species